rnacentral:rRNA from 1 species
AUUGAACGCUGGCGGCAUGCCUUACACAUGCAAGUCGAACGGCAGCACGAGAGCAAUCCUGGUGGCGAGUGGCGAACGGGUGAGUAAAGUAUCGGAACGUGCCCAGUCGUGGGGGAUAACGUAGCGAAAGUUACGCUAAUACCGCAUACGAUCUAUGGAUUAAAGCGGGGGAUCGCAAGACCUCGCGCGAUUGGAGCGGCCGAUAUCAGAUUAGGUAGUUGGUGGGGUAAAGGCUCACCAAGCCGACGAUCUGUAGCUGGUCUGAGAGGACGACCAGCCACACUGGGACUGAGACACGGCCCAGACUCCUACGGGAGGCAGCAGUGGGGAAUUUUGGACAAUGGGCGAAAGCCUGAUCCAGCCAUGCCGCGUGCAGGAUGAAGGCCUUCGGGUUGUAAACUGCUUUUGUACGGAACGAAAAGGUUUGGCCUAAUAAGCUGAGCUCAUGACGGUACCGUAAGAAUAAGCACCGGCUAACUACGUGCCAGCCGCCGCCGUAA